AUUGAACGCUGGCGGCAGGCUUAACACAUGCAAGUCGAGCGAGCGGCGGACGGGUGAGUAAUGUCUGGGAAACUGCCUGAUGGAGGGGGAUAACUACUGGAAAAGGUAGCUAAUACCGCAUACCAUCAGAUGUGCCCAGAUGGGAUUAGCUAGUAGGUGUGGUAAUGGCUCACCUGGGCGACGAUCCCUAGCUGGGCUGAGAGGAUUAACCGCCACACUGGAACUGAGACACGGUCCAGACUCCUACGGGAGGCAGCAGUGGGGAAUAUUGCACAAUGGGCGCAAGCCUGAUGCAGCCAUGCCGCGUGUGUGAAGAAGGCUUUCGGGUUGUAAAGCACUUUCAGCGAGGAGGCGUUACUCGCAGAAGAAGCACCGGCUAACUCCGUGCCAGCAGCCGCGGUAAUUC
rnacentral:rRNA from 1 species